rnacentral:rRNA from 1 species
UACGUAGGGGGCAAGCGUUAUCCGGAUUUACUGGGUGUAAAGGGAGCGUAGACGGAAUUGCAAGUCUGAUGUGAAAAUCCGGGGCCCAACCCCGGAACUGCAUUGGAAACUGUAUUUCUAGAGUGUCGGGGAGGCAAGUGGAAUUCCUGGUGUAGCGGUGAAAUGCGUAGAUAUCAGGAGGAACACCAGUGGCGAAGGCGGCUUGCUGGACGAUGACUGACGUUGAGGCUCGAAAGCGUGGGGAGCAAACAGG